GGGUGUGGGUGUGCGUGGAAUCCCUGCGGAGAGUCCCCCUCUCUUUCUUCUUUGCCUUCGCCUGCGUGCCUGCCGCGACAGAAGGGUACAGCCCCUUUGGGGUUUCUGGUGUCCUUUCCAGUGGAGGGGUUGUUAAUGUCUGCUGCUGUGGGCUAAGAAAAGAAGGAACAAGCCUGAAAAACCCCACAUCCUCUUGUAGGACCAGAUUCUUCCUUUGGAUGUGGUUCCUACUGAGUGCACCAGAUAUUGGCCAAGUGGAGCUAAGCACAGAGCUUGACCUGCUGAUUUUGCAAGCCUCAGUUUAAGUUUCAUGUGUGCUUUCAUCCAGUUAAGCAAACAACUGUUUCUCCCGUGAUAUAAAUGCCCUCCUCUGAGAUGUCUCCAGGCAUUGUUUGGCUGCUGCAGCUUUUUCUCCUGCUUCCCCCUAAGCGCUCUCUGUCUGACCACUGGGUGUCAGUGAAAGACUGCGAAGUGAUUUUCUGUAGUUAAAUAUACAUGAGUUCCUCUCAGGCUUUUUGGGUGUUCCUUACUUAAGGUGGCCAAGACAAAUUUGGGAAAACAACUGGCACACACAGCAGGAGUGUAGAAUAAUUAACAAAACCAGCUCAGAUCACUGAGUUUUGCCGGAAUCACUUCAUUAUUCUAUUUGAAUUAAUUCCUACUACCAGGACACUUAAUACAUUAAAGAAAAAUGGUUUAUCUUUUCUUUCUUUUUCAAGUAAAACCACUAUUCCCAACAUAAUCACAAGGUACAUGAUCAUGCUGCUGUUAUAUUUUACUGUGUUCGUAUUUCUUGUGCAUUAGCCGAUGUGUGACUGGUGGUCCCAGGCCUGAAAGGUGCUGUCCUCGUGCAAGGUGGUUUGUAUGGAAAUGCCCUUACAAAUGCAUGAGGAUUCAGGAGGUUCCACACAAUUAAAAAAAAAAAAAUCUAUUUUCAAGGCUCUUCCUGCUUCCACCAAUGGGGGAAAAUUUUGCUCUGGAUCCUUUGGCAGACUGGACUCAAAAGAUGUGGAUAUGUCACUUAAGACAUGAGCUGAAAAGUCAGUGACAGCUGAAAAAGCGUUUAAUGGAAUGGUAAUUAUGUGUCCACACAUAAUAGCUCCUGUAUUUACAUGUCACAUUCAUUGUAUUUUGAAUUUAAUUCCAAUUUUCAGUAUGUAGAAGGUGUAACAGCAUUGGAAGAAACCUGAAGAGCUUUGGACGCUUGUCAGGAAACAAGUGGCCCCUGGGAGCUGGGCAGGUGUCACAAAUAUUUGGGGUUAUGUAAUAGGCACAUUAAUUGUAUAGUGCUGAAAAAAUGAUCUGCUGUCCAAAAACUGAGCGUUUCAGUCAGUUUGGGCCUACCUCUUUAGGCUGCAGAGUUCUCCAACUACUGAAAUAAGUUAAAUAGUGAAAUCACUGUGGUUUGCUGCUCCACAAUGCUGCCAUGUUCAGGAUGGUACUGCUGCCUUUGCUCAAACUCUACUCAGAUUUUAAGGAAAGUUUGAAAAAUUAAAGCAUGUAAAUGUUUAUUUUAAAAUAACCUAUUUUGAUGGUCAUUUCCUAGGGAAAAAAUAUCUGCAGCAAAUUCUUGGGCCGUGUAAAUAAAAUACACAUUGGACUCCUGUUCAGAAUAUAAAUAGAGCAGAACAAAACAAGAUUCAUGCUGAAAGUUUUCUUUUGUAUAUACAAAAUGGAAGUUUCCUGAAUUGCUGCUCUAGGUGUUCUUUCUCUUUCCAGAGUGGAUGUUAAAAGUCACAGGUAUUUGAAACUUCACGUGCCACAUAAUUGUGUGGAGCAAGGAUCGAGGGUUUGUCUAAACGGAAUCUAGUGUCAAAAACGUCUUAGUAUGGUCAAUUGUAGGCGUACACAACUUGUGAGUCUAAAUUAGGGGAAAACAACAGCUGAGCACUGCUGAAUUCCUGUUUUUCCCUGCCCUGAGUGCCACUAGAGGCCCUUUUAUGCUGCAGAGAUGUCACAGCUCCUGCCCCUACUUUGUGCUGGUGGAAAAGAGCUGCAACGUUUCCACCAUUGUCAUUAAUGUAACGGCAGGUCUGGAGGUCAAAGGCAACAUUUCUGGGCAGCUAAAAUCGAGAAUUAGCAUUAGUUUACCUAUAGUGUCAACCAAAUCAAAAAGAACUUUACUCUAAAGCUGAAGUCCUCAACCUGUACGUUCUUAAGUGUUCCAGUGCACCAAACCACUUGUUUUAAUUAUAAGAAUUUCAGUUAUAUUUAAACAGUGAUGCUCAAAAUCUAUUUUUUUUUUUAGACCUUUUUAUUUUAGCAGGGAAACAAAAGACUCUUUACUGCUCUGUUGUCAUUUAUAGCAGUUGGAACAUGAAAUACUUUUCUGUUUAAAUAGGAUCUAGUACUGAGAGUGUUCUGCGUGUAACAUGCUCUUAAAUAGUUCAGAUCAAAGCCUGUAAACUUAAUGUCUGUCAGCAUUAAGGAGAACGGAUAAGCUGGAGCCACUGUGCUUUUACAAACUUGAUUUUAUUAGACGUAAACAGAUCACAUCCCAAAUUAGAUUUGUGCAGUGGCAGAGUACAAGCACUUACAUUAAAUUUACAGACCAGAAAUGUAGUAUUUUUUUUAAUAGGGCAAAUGUUUCUUCAUAUAUUUAAGACAUUAUUAGCUUCAAAAUUGCUCAAUAACAAUGUAAUAAUUUAUUGGUUUUGUGCGUUACCCCACCAUUUUAACUCUACAAUGACUUCAGAGAGGAUCUUCUACCCCAGUGAAAUAAAGGAAGGGUCAAGCAUCUCAGAAUUUUAUUUAUUGGGAAAUUUGAAUAAGAAUCUCACCUGGGAGCUUUAGGAUGAUUAUCAGGAGGGUGUUUGCUGGACCUGGUCCAGUUCAUACCAGGCUGGAAAGGAGAAUCCUGUUAAACUACACCUUAUUUUUUCAGGAAGAGCCGCUUGUUUCCAGAGAAGGAAUCACCUCAAGCUGUUUUAGACCUUGAGGAAUGUAGACUUUUAUUCUGUGUUUUAGACUGAGGUCAAAUGUAGCAAAAAAUGAGUCAGCAACGAGCGGUGGUUUUUCACAAUGAAGGCAAUCCAUCGCUGGACUACCCUCACAUGAGUUGUGGUGGGUUUUUCACCACUAGAAUUUUCUAUCAAAGUGUAAUAUUUUAUAAAAGACAAGAAUUCAUUUGAGAAUGUCCUGUGAUCUCUGCUGUAAAGAGAGAUCAGUCUCAGUUACUACAGAGGUCACUUCUGGCCUUAUGAUUUAUGCUUGUAUUUGCUUCAGCAGUUAUUUCAAAUGUUUAAUAUCUGUAAUUUCACUGUUUUCCUUCAUAGAAUUAAACCUUUUGUGUUGGUGGCACAUGCCAUGUUUCCCAAAAGCAAACAGCAUGGAAACAACUUCUGCCUUUGGCAGGCUUGAGACUAGCCAAAAAAAUAUUUUAAUUAAAUCUAAAGGAUUAGUGAACGUAAAAGAGAACGAGAACAAACAUACAAGUAAUCUAAGAGAUCAGAAAUACAGCCAGCUAAUGUCGAGACAGCCAAAAAAUGGCUUGAGUUUUAGAAGUGCAUGUUAAACAAAACAACAGAACAGUUCCUACAGCCUCCCACUGGAUAAUUAAACAUUUUUAAUUACACAGUCAAAUUCAGGGAAUACUAAACUGUGACUCAAAUAAAACUACUUCAAAUAACAUUUAAGUUUUUAAUAGAGGCAGUGAUGAUUUCAAUGCAGUUUGAUAUAGAUUUAAACAUGAGUCUAUGUAGAUAAAUGAAGAAUCACCUUACACCAAAAAAAGAAAAUCUAUCUCCUAGACAUCAAUCUGAUAAUUUCCAAGAUAAACUCUCCUUUAAGUGUGGCUCUGCCCCUGAGAGCUCCCUGCCACUGCUGCUUGUCCAAAGUAACCUCCUGGGAGGGUUUUAGGCAGAAAAUGCCCACCAGGCUUGGACUGGAGUGGUGUAGGGUGGGAAAGGACAGGGACAAGUGACUUUCUGCCUGCCUGGGGUUCUGCCUCCCUCUCCAGAGCACUCCGGGCCUUUCUGAGACGUUUAUCAACCUCUCCCACCCUUUCAGUGAAGAAAGUUUUUGGCAGUGGUGUGGGUCAAGCUUUCAAAGCUCUCUUCAGGGGUUCAGCAUCCUGCCUUAAUGGAACAAAUUAGGGACUCUGCAGUUAAUAUUUCUCUGUUUGCUGAUGAGGUGUGGAGUGAUAGGGUCAUAGGGAAGCUGUGUUUUCCAGCUCCACUUGCUUACUUGCUAUCUCUCCAUCAUUUACUUUCAAUUAAAAGAUUAGUGGUAGUGUACUUCAACCACUGUGGUAUGAAGCUGCUGCUUCUCUAAUUGCAGUUGAGGAGGGAGGAAGGAUAAAGAAAUAAUCUUGUAGGCUUGGAGAAGGAAAGAAGGAGUAGCUGUCUUCUAGCAAGCAAUCUUUGCCCUGAACUCUGCUAUGGCCACUGAAAUUUGCUAUUGGAGGUGUCAAGAAUGAGACACAACUUACUUUUUUAUCUCAGUAUAACCUGCUGGAGUAUAUUGCAUUUAAGAGUUGAAUUGAAGCUCAUUUGUUGCUAGUGUAUACAAUUAUUUAUUUCAGCUGAAACAACCCCUUCUUAAAGUGAAAAUUUGGCCAGUAAUACAGGCUUGCCUCUGAGGGCAAAUCCUCUGAAUGAGCUGCAGAUCACAGCACACAGGCAAGUAGUUCCACACAGAAGAGUUAUUUUCUUGGGUUUUUUUGUUUUUUGUUUUUUGGUUUUUUUACCUUUUUAAUCCUCUUAUUCUUUUCCUUGCAGAAUAGUGGGGCUCUUUUUACAGUUACAGAAUGGCCCUUUCAUUAUGGGUUACAUGAUUGUUCCUGGGAAAAGGAUGUUAUGCCUGCAAGUUGCCCGGGUCAGUUUAUGUGUAAUGUGGGCAAUGUGUGUUUAAAGCCUGAUUUGGUAAAUUCAGCCUUGCCAUGCCACCUGAAAUUGGGCUCUUGGAACUGUUUCCACAGCCUUAUCACCAACAAUGGGGCUGAUGCUUCUCUCUGAUGAGGUAUUUUGCAGAGAUUGGAAGGGAUCCAGUGCUCAGCUGUACUCGUUUGUCAGUCCUGCAGGUGGAGAGACAAUGGGGAAUGUUUUUACUGAAUUUGUUCAAGUGCCGGAUAGGAAGCCUGGUCACAUUAGUUACAUUUAACGUGUCAGUACUCUUAAUUUUCUCAGUCGCAGGCAAUUGAAGCAUUCCUUUCAGUGUUUGGCAUUAAGAUGCUAAAACCACUUAUUUCCUUUGUUGUUCCAACAAAUGUAUUCAGCCUCAGGCUGCUCGUGUUGGUUUCUUGGGAAGCUGAGCCACUGAAUUCUUUGUGGUGAUAACCUGAACACCAGAGUGACUUCAGGUGUUCUUUAGUGACACCUUCCUUCCGAGUAACUCAGCCACUUCCCAGGACAAAAUAUCAGAAUGUGUUAAUUUUAUUUAAAAGGCCAUUUAUGGGAGAAACCCAACCAAAUAACCAAACCCCAAAGCACUAUCAUUAGUCUGGCCUCAGCUCAGCAUAACUGAGCAGGUCACAGAGCAGAGGUGCUCAGAAUUAUGUGGGAGCUACACAGGAGCUAUCGGGAAAUACAUGAAUGAUGCCUUGUUGAAAAGUGUUUUUUUCUUAGAGUGCACUUAUGGAUCAAUUCAUCAGGCUGGAAAAUAAUAAAAGGAGAAGGCAAUAUGACAGCCAGAGCUGGUCAGCUAUGUAGGGAUUCACAGAAUACCUUAAAUGCACACUUUAGCUGACACUUCUCAUUUUUGACCCUUGUCUUUGUACAUUAACUCCUCUGGGCAGUCACUCAUGCUCAUUUGAAGGAUGAAUAACACAAUGCCUGCAUGUUUCCAGAUUUAACAGCAAUCCAUACUGUCUGAUUGAAAGUGCCCUUUUCAGCAGAGUUUAGCAAUUACCUUGCUGCAUUUAAAAUUAAAUUUAUUUGAAUAGUGUUUGAUUCUACAGCAGUGAUAUCACGAAUCUCUAGAUUGUGGCCUGAACAGCUCAUUGCUUGUGUUUUUUCUUCUUUCAAAAGCAUAAAAUCCUAUAUUAUUUUAAAUAUCCUCUAGUUAUUGUUGUACUGUCAGCUGAGAGUCUGCUAGACUCUGUCCCUUUAAGCCAGUAAACCUGAGUCCUCAUGCUUCCUAUCAUUAAAAUAAGAUCAAUCAGCUUCAACUCACAACUUCUGUAUGAAAAUCUGUCCUAAAAGCGUUGUCAUCAAUUUCAUAAAUGAAAAACUCAAAUUUACUCCACUUUUCCCACAGAAAUGGAGCUGGGAGAAACCACCAGUGCAAAGAUUCUCCAUAAAGAUACGGAAAUUAUUAAUUGCUGAAUGGAGCUAAUAGAACACCCUGGAGGCAGGUUUGGGGUUUUUUUCCCUAUGGGUUUGAAGCACAAGUUUCCACACUUCUGUGGUGCUGUUUGCCAUACAAUAGAGUUUCUUGAAGAACAGAAGAAACUCCACUUUUUCUGAGAGGGGACUUGGAAUGCCCUGGCCUGUCCACAUCCUUUGCCUUGCAAAUGAUUGAUGUCACUGUGGUUUCAUGCAGUGACGUCGUCACUUAUGGAGGAAAAUGGUUUCAGUCUAAAGGAACACUGCCCAAAAUGAUCAGGAUGUAACUAAUACCAUGUUUGUCAUUAGGUUUACUGGGAAAAGGUCAUGUUAUGCAAAGAUUUACUGUAAAUUGGUAGGGAACAGGAUGGGCUUAGAUUUACAGUUGGAAAGCUCAACGAGGCUUGGGAAACCCAGGGUGGGAAGCCACCCUUGGGGUGCCCAGGUGAGAGAUGCUACAGAACAGUGAUAAAGAGUUUCUCCUGGUCAGGGAAGUUUGUAAAAGCAAGAUUUCUUGAGAAAAAAAGGGUAUUAUGUUCUCAUUUUCCUCAACAGUGAAGUCACUGUUAUGAGGAUUGACUAAAAAAGUCAAUCUCAAAAAAAAGUCAAAAGUGGUUUGGGGGUUUUUUGGCACCAGUGACAGGAUAAUUGCCUUGAGAUUCCUGGUAGUUUUUAUGAAAACCUGUGAUUCCGGGGGACCUGUCACUGUGCAAAACUGCAGGGAACAAAACUAGACCUGCACUCAGAAUAGAUGGAAAGAUUGCCUGUGUAAAUGAUAUUAAUUUAGUCACUCUCCAAACUCUCCUAUCACCCAAGGACCUCUGAAUUUAUCAAAUUUUGUGGUGAGUAGAACAAGGUGAAAAUUGCCUUCACCUGUAUUUAUAAAUUUGCCCCUUAAUAGAUUUUUGUAGUAAAUUGAGGAUUUGGCUCAUUGGAAAUACUAAAUCCAGGGAAUAUCCAGCUCAUUAGAGACACUCAGCUCUUGUAAGACCAGAGUGCUCUUAAACACAGUUCAGAAGCCACUGCCAAAUUCAGUUUAAAACACCAAAAAAAAAAAAAAUACUAGUUCUCAAAACACUAAUGCUCCCUAUGGUUUUAGAAGUAUCUGGGAAAUGCAGUCUUUAGGCUGUUUACCCUGUAUAAAAGGGGAUUAAGGCUAGAAAAAGUGAAUCUGGGAAGCACAUUUGAUCCAAAAUCCAUUAGAGUUAAUCACGAUUUACAUCAUCUUCAGUAGCUGUGAUAUCAUCAAUAAGGGUGAGAUUCAACUGCUUAAUUAGUAUAAUAGAGGAAAAAGGUUAAUUGUUGCACAAGUUUAACCCUCAAAUUAUAAAUUACAGAAGUCCACACUCACUGUUCAAUGACUACCACUAUUCCAGUUUUGUUGGUGUUUGCUACCAGCGUUUCUUGUGAUUGGUUUAAAUGACUGCAUGGCACUUUAAGUCAGCCUUUUUAGGAACUGUUUUCUAAGGGUUCCACUUGAAUGCCAACACCUUCUUCUGGGGAAUAGCAAUCCCAAAACCAAUUUGAUAUGAGGAACCCAGUGUAGACUCUCUGUGAGACACUUCAGUGCUAUUUCCUAAGCAACAAAUCUUUGCUCUUGCUCUGAUAUGUUCAGGUUUCACUGUGAAAAUUCACCUUUCCUUAAAAAAGUCAGGCUCUUUUCGUCAGUAAAUUUUUCACAGAUCUCACAGAAUAUUCUGAGUCAUAAAGGACCCACGAGGAUUUUUAAGUGAAUGUCCGUCCCAUAAGGGGAUGGAACCCAUGACCUUGGUGUUAUUAGCACCAUGCUCUGACCAGCUGUGCUAAUCCCAGGUUUUCCCCAGGGUUUGUGGUUCUCAGGAAAAUUUUGGUCAGUCAGGACUUCCUUUGGUGGAAAAGACUUUUUGAUGGAAAAGACUAUGUAUUAAAAAAUCUUGGGGUUUUUUUUUUUCAGCAAAGUAAAACUCACUAAAAUAUUUUGUUUUAAUAAUGACAUGAAUUUUCUAUAUUUUAUAUUCAUCUGUAACACUUAGA